UUAUGGUGUCAUGGUCAUUGAUGACCGUUCAUAUAAUCUUUGCAAUUGCUUUGCAGCUUAUGCGGAGAUUAUACGACGAUCAACAGAAACCUUUGUCAUCAAAUA
rnacentral:pre_miRNA from 2 species